rnacentral:rRNA from 1 species
GGAAUCUUACCGUGGACCGACAGCAAUAUCCCUUUUUGGGUGAAGACUUUGCCGGAAUAGCUGAGAGGUGGUGCUUGGCCGUCGUCAGUUCGUACUGUGAAGCAUCCUGUUAAGUCAGGCAACGAGCGAGACCCACGCCCACAGUUGCCAGCGUACUCUCCGGAGUGACGGGUACACUGUGGGGACCGCCGCUGCUAAAGCGGAGGAAGGAAUGGGCAACGGUAGGUCAGUAUGCCCCGAAUAUCCCGGGCUACACGCGAGCUACAAUGGUUGGUACAAUGGGUAUCUACCCCGAAAGGGGACGGGAAUCUCCUAAAACCAAUCUUAGUUCGGAUUGAGGGCUGCAACUCGCCCUCAUGAAGCUGGAAUCCGUAGUAAUCGCGUUUCAACAGAACGCGGUGAAUACGUCCCUGCUCCUUGCACACACCGCCCGUCAAACCACCCGAGUAGGGUCUGAAUGAGAGCGCUUUCUUUGGAGGCGUUCGAAUUUGGGCUUUGCAAGGGGGGUU